rnacentral:tRNA from 1 species
GCGGGUGUAGCCAAAUUGGUAAAGGCGCGCGGCUUAGGACCGCGUGGGGAAACCCUUGGAGGUUCGAAUCCUCCCAUCCGCACCA